GCCUCAUUAGCUCAGUUGGUAGAGCAGUUGCCUCUUAAGCAUCGGGUCCAAGGUUCGAGUCCUUGAUGGGGUA
rnacentral:tRNA from 1 species